rnacentral:lncRNA from 1 species
UGGAGAUGGAGGCUGAAAACCUGAGGGCGGACACAAGCAUCUGCUCUGCCCUCCCCAACGGCUCAGAUGAACAACGUGCACGAGGCAUCUCCGCUGCUGGCCCUUCCUCGAGAAACGGGAGGGCGCCCUCCAGUACCGAACAACCGAGCUCUGGCUUUACGACCGCUCAGAAAACGAGCAAGGCGCAACGCGGAUGCUGCCUCCGACAAGAGCAGCCGCACAGUGCCGUUGAAGGCAGAAGCGCGAGGCUUGGCUGCGUAACGCCACGCAAGGCGUGCGUGUUCUUAAAUCCGGACGGGUUACCCUCAGCCGGCGGCUUUCUAAAGCACAGGGGCAUGUUGGCGGUAGGGCUUCAGGUGAGCCAAAAGCUCUGGCUCUAGUGGAGCUAUUUCAGACCUAGCCAAAAAAGAUCGCAGUCUGUGCUUUAAACUCAAGGCUGGUCGUAGCUGUGAGUCUGGUGAAACGUGGGGAAGUCAACGCGAGGGAUGGGGACGAGGUGCGGGAAACGCAGGGAAA